rnacentral:rRNA from 1 species
GAUGAACGCUGGCGGCGUGCCUAAUACAUGCAAGUCGAGCGGAGCGACGACGGGUGAGUAACACGUGCAUAACCUUUUAUAAGUCUGGGGUAAUUUCGGGAAACCGGGGCUACACUGGAUCCUUAUUGCUCGAUUUGCGUGGCAUUAGCUAUUUGGUAAGGUAACGGCUUACCAAGGAAACGAUGCAUAGCCGACCUGAGAGGGUGAUCGGCCACACUGGAACUGAGACACGGUCCAGACUCCUACGGGAGGCAGCAGUAGGGAAUCUUCCGCAAUGGGCGAAAGCCUGACGGAGCAACGCCGCGUGUGUGAAGAAGGUCUUCGGAUCGUAAAGCUCUGUUAUUAAGGAAGCGGUACCCAAACAGGAAGCCACGGCUAACUACGUGCCAGAAGCCGCGGUAAUUC